rnacentral:rRNA from 1 species
GACGAACGCUGGCGGCGUGCUUAACACAUGCAAGUCGAACGGAAAGGCCCUGCUUUUGUGGGGUGCUCGAGUGGCGAACGGGUGAGUAACACGUGAGUAACCUGCCCUUGACUUUGGGAUAACUUCAGGAAACUGGGGCUAAUACCGGAUAGGAGCUCCUGCUGCAUGGUGGGGGUUGGAAAGUUUCGGCGGGUGGGGAUGGACUCGCGGCUUAUCAGCUUGUUGGUGGGGUAGUGGCUUACCAAGGCUUUGACGGGUAGCCGGCCUGAGAGGGUGACCGGCCACAUUGGGACUGAGAUACGGCCCAGACUCCUACGGGAGGCAGCAGUGGGGAAUAUUGCACCAUGGGCGGAAGCCUGAUGCAGCAACGCCGCGUGCGGGAUGACGGCCUUCGGGUUGUAAACCGCUUUCGCCUGUGACGAAGCGUGAGUGACGGUAAUGGGUAAAGAAGCACCGGCUAACUACGUG